rnacentral:tRNA from 1 species
GGCUCCGUGGUGAAGUUCAUGUUGAGUUGCAAGCUCAUUGAUGCGCAUGAGAGUGCGCCGGGGCCU